rnacentral:tRNA from 1 species
GGGCACUUAGCUCAGUUGGUAGAGCAUUCGACUUUUAAUCGAACGGUCAGAGGUUCGAAUCCUCUAGUGCCUACCA